rnacentral:rRNA from 1 species
AAUCAACGCUGGCGGCGUGCCUCAGACAUGCAAGUCGAACGAUUAAAGCUCUCUUCGGAGAGUGUAUAGAGUGGCGCACGGGUGAGUAACACGUAAGUAAUCUACCUUUGAGUGGGGAAUAACAGUCGGAAACGACUGCUAAUACCGCAUAAUGCAGCGGCAUCGCAAGAUGACAGUUGUUAAAGGAGCAAUCCGCUUAAAGAGGAGCUUGCGGCAGAUUAGCUUGUUGGUAAGGUAACGGCUUACCAAGGCUACGAUCUGUAUCCGGUCUAAGAGGACGGUCGGACACACUGACACUGAAUAACGGGUCAGACUCCUACGGGAGGCAGCAGUCGGGAAUUUUGGGCAAUGGGCGAAAGCCUGACCCAGCAACGCCGCGUGAAGGAUGAAGUAUUUCGGUAUG